UGGGUGACCUGCCCUCAGCUCUGGGAUAAGCCCGAGAAAUUGGGUCUAAUACCGGAUAUGGCCUUUCCUCGCAUGGGGUUUGGUGGAAAGUUUUUUCGGCUGGGGAUGGGCCCGCGGCCUAUCAGCUUGUUGGUGGGGUGAUGGCCUACCAAGGCGACGACGGGUAGCCGGCCUGAGAGGGCGACCGGCCACACUGGGACUGAGACACGGCCCAGACUCCUACGGGAG
rnacentral:rRNA from 1 species